CAACUGAAUGGGUUUUAAUUACAUUAGGGAACUAUUCCACUUCUCAUCAUCUCUCUCGGUUUCUCUCUAUCGAAUCCAAACGACAUGGCCUUUCUCAGAUGAUGAUGAUGGACUGAAGUUGAAAGAUGCGUCAAACCUGGCUGAAUUAGGGGUUCUGGCGAAAUAUUCGAACAUUGAUAUUCCGGCCAGAAGCUAUGGUUUCGAUGGUGGGUUCCGGCGACAUGGGUAAGCCAUGUGGUCGAUCAAAGAAGAACGGUUUGUAACGGCGACACGGGUAAGCAUUUGUGUGAUUGAAGAGGGACACAAGAACAUGGGCAAACACUCAAAGUCCAUCAUUCUUGAAGGUGAUGCAGCUAAGAAGACUCAUUGGAAGAUGGUAAUUGAAGGAUUCUGCUUCUCCCUUCCAGAUUCAUCACUACAUCAAUGUUAUUCACCAGAUUCAACCUGUUAGCGAUUAAGGUAAUGGGAUUCAUCACUAAUUGGGGUCCAGAUUCAUCACUAAUUUCAGCUUUUUACUUAAAAAAAGGGUGUUUGGAUGUGUCUUUUUCAGGUCUGAUAACAGUGCCUAAACCUAACAUGAGGAUUGAUUGAUUGACUAUCUCGAUGGAAAAAUUCAAGCCGAUAAAUUCUACCAUUGAGGGUUCUAUGGAAAACGGAUCUACCGUUGAAGCUUGAUUUAGAGACUUUUGCAAGUUUUUUUCGAUCUGUUUUUGGUUUUUAGUUUGUUUUAUCUUUUAAGAUUAUUAAGUUAUGUGAUACGAAUUGAUUUGCGGUUAUUUAUUUAUAUAUAUAUAUAUAUAUAUUUUUUGUGAAAGUAAUGUUUUUUACGAUCAUCAGAUACAUUGUCCACUCACUUUUGUUAUGUGCCUGAUCAGGAUCAUUAUGGUAACAUGGUAACAAGAUGAUUGAACCCGGGGAGCUAGAGCUGAGGUGAGGUGGAGGUUGGGGGUUCGACUCCGGUCGGGCGUGUAUUUACCACCUUGGGUGGGCGGCUCUCAAUUACACUGCGAGUUGCCCUUAGCCGUAGUUCGCUACGGUCUCCUAGCGUAACUGGGUUGUCAUUCAAAACAAAAAAAACAAAAACAAGAUGAUUGAUCUUGCAGGUGAACAAAACUACCAGGUGGAUACCAAAUUUGGUUUUGCUAAUUUGAAGUUGAGAAGCGGCUGCAAAAGUAUGAGACGAAUGAGUUGGAAAAGCAUGAAGGGCAAUCUGUUUUCCGUCUGAUAUUGUAUCAGUUUAAUGAUACUUUCAUUAGAAUU